CUUUAAAAACAUAAUGCAGGCCAUGGUGACCUGUGCCUGUAAUCCCAGCUACUCGGGAGGUUGUGGUGGGAGGGUUGCUUGAGCCCAGGUGUUUGAGUUCAGUCUGGGCAACACAGGAGACCUCGGCUCAAAAAAUAAAUAAAAUUUAAAAUUAAAAACAUAGUGCUACUUCCUUCUGACCUCCAAGGUUUCUGAUGAGAAAUCUGCCAUCAUUCAAAUCACUGUUCUCCAGCUCACGAUGUAGGAGAUGACGAUCCACUCCUGGAGGGACGGCCAGCCAUCCAUCCGCACCAGGAUGACGUAGUUAAACAGCAGCAGGUUGACACAUCUAAAAGAAUCUUUGUUUCCAACUGGACUGACUCAUUGAGAGGAAACCUUCACUGCACCUCACCAGUGCAGACAGAAGACCUGGAGGCAGGACGGGAGGCAUUUUAUACUUCAGCACGAUAUGGGCCCUGACUUUUCAUUUUCUACAUGGAGACAUAUUGGUUGGUGCUGUCAUCCUCAUGGGGAAACUAUGAAGUUGCAAACAUUAUGAUAACGGGAAACUUUUAAUAGUUUGCUGGAGUGUCUUCUACAUUCCUGGAAACUGGAAAAUGUUACUUACUCCUCCCUGCCUCAGAAAUUUCCUUCCUGAUUCUUUCCACAACUGGGAAGUUAGAUGAGAGGACAUGUGGAUGAGUUGCCCACCCAGAUAUGCGAGCUGACCCUAGAGUCCCCUCAGUUACUGGUGGCAUGUCCAGGAUUUGCUGUGGCCACAGCAGGGCCCCUAUCUCUGUGGCAGGGAAAGAGGCAGAGCUGGAGGUGGCAGUGGGUGAGGCAAAAGCGGGGAGUUAAGGGGUUGGGGGAGGACGUCUGAAGUAGAUCACCUGUCCCCAGUGAUUCACCAUGAUGCCAAGGAAACUUAAGCUUCUGGGUCCCUCACUGGCACAGGCCCCUGUGGAAGGCUUGGGGGAGGGGUGCUAAAAACUGAGUAUUUGUAACUGGGCAGUUUGGUUUUUUUUUCUUUUUUUUCAAGAUCCUGCCUCCCAAGCCUAUAAGCUUUACCAGGAGAGAGGCAGGCCCCACCCCAAGAUCCACUAUCCACUCUUUGAAGAAAGAUUAGAGCCAUGUUCUCAGACUUUGGGCUGCAUCCUAAUCCCUGCGAAGCUGCACAAUGUGUGAUGACUCCACCCUCCACCCGAUCCAGAGGGUCUGGGGUGAGACCCAAGGCUGAGAGGCCUCGAUGGCUUCCUGGCCCCAUCUCCGGCAGCAGCCUCUAUGGCUGGGCUCUCCUGCAGGCUGGGUGCACCCCAGGCCCUCAGAUGGUUCUAACCAGAAUCGAUGGGCAGCAGUGACUUCGACUGUAUCAUCAAUCUUGGCUGCCACAAGGUUGGGUGUCCAGGCCCUCAGCUGACCCUUGAGGUGGGCCCCCACACAGAGCUUUGCUCUGCCCCCAGCCCACCCUCAUUCAUCGCCCAGACCACGGCCAGGGACCCAGCUCCUCAUGUCCCAUACCCUGCUCUCACCUCAUCACCAGUGCAACCACAGCACCGAGGCCUGCCUGGCGGGGGCUGUGGCUUGAUGCUUGGGAUUUCAUGAGAAGUCUCUCUCCUCCCGACUGACGUGGUUGCACAAGCCACAGUGUGCCUGGCCACCCCCACUGGGACCGCCUGCAGCUCGGCCAUUUCCCCCAGAGGCGCUCUGAUCUGCCCUCCUGCCUCCUCUCCUGUUCUUGUUAGUAGAGAGCCACACUCUGGGAGCUGUGUAGACCCAGGGCCUCAGAGAGGGCUGGAGGAUGGCUUGCCAGCCAAGCGGGUCAGUUUGGUGAGCACUUCAGAAUGAGACGCCUUGAUUUGUUUCCCUAUUCCAAGAGUUUACCAUCUGGAUUUAGCCAUGCCCUUGUAAUGACCCCACCAAUUUCAUGAAAAAUGGAAUCUGUGAAUUUGCUCUUUAAAUCACUAGUCAUCUCUGUUCAUUUAAAAAUAAAAUUAUAGUUCCUUAAGUUUGUAUUGCUAAAGGCAUCAGAAGAAUUCAUCUUAAGCAAAUAGCAUGUGACUAUUUUGCCUUAUGAGAUGGUGUAUUUGGGACUAGGAUGGCCAUAUAUCAAUAUGUGACAGGAUAUCGAGAUCCAAUGUUAGCCAGAGAUCUCAAUUAGUCCCAGUUUUGUUCUCAUAAUUCAUUUUAAUUCAGUGAAUUUUUAGAUACUUUUUUAAGCCCUUGAAGUUUUUCUUGAUUCCAACAUAUCAAAGCAUUCAAAAUAUACUGAAUGUCAAAUGUUCAGGAGGAGGCCUCACUGUGUAAAACCAGAACUUGACA
rnacentral:lncRNA from 1 species